CCUACGGGGGGCAGCAGUGAGGAAUAUUGGUCAAUGGGCGCGAGCCUGAACCAGCCAAGUAGCGUGAAGGAUGACUGCCCUACGGGUUGUAAACUUCUUUUAUAAAGGAAUAAAGUGAGUCACGUGUGCCUUUUUGUAUGUACUUUAUGAAUAAGGAUCGGCUAACUCCGUGCCAUCAGCCGCGGUAAUACGGAGGAUCCGAGCGUUAGCCGGAUUUGUUGGGGUUAAAGGGAGCGUAGAUGGGUUGUUAAGUCAGUUGUGAAAGUUUUGGGCUCAACCGUAAAAUUGCAAUUGAUACUGGCAGUCGUGAGUACAGUUGAGGUAAGCGGAAUUCGUGGUGUAGCGGUGAAAUGCGUAGAUAUCACGAAGAACUCCGAUGGCGAAGGCAGCUUACUAAACUGCCACUGACAUUGAUGCUCGAAAGUGUGGGUAUCAAACAGGAUUAGAUACCCCAGUAGUC
rnacentral:rRNA from 1 species